rnacentral:tRNA from 1 species
UCCCUGCUAGCUCAGUUGGUAAAGAAUCUGUCUGCAAUGAAGAAGACCUGGGUUCAAUUCCUGGGUGGGGAA